rnacentral:rRNA from 1 species
AUGACCUUCGAUCCCGCGAGCUCCCGAGGCAUCAACCUCCCUUCCGCGAGAUCCGGUGACGCCGGCCACCGAGAACCGCUGCUCUGCCAUCGCCUCCUUGCUGCUGCCCACCGAGGUCCUUGUGUUGCUUCAUUCCGGACCAUCAAGACCGGAAAGAUCGACUACAUGGACGCCAAGUACCACGACACUGAAGACCCGGACUUCACCAAAAACCAGUACUCGAUGACCCUUCGGUUGCGCCAAGUUCGUCUACACAAAAACGCCAAGUACCCCUCAUGUCGGCAAGACCCGUAA